rnacentral:lncRNA from 1 species
AAUAUUUUAAAAGUUUAAGACUACGGUGUUAGUUCACAAAAAACUCCCGAUAAUUAUGUAAUUUUCAAAUAUUUAGGGACCAUGUGGAGUAUUUUCCAGGUCAUCUUCUUCGCGGACACCUGUUGGAAGGCUCUGUCCAACUUCCGCUAUCGCCGUCGUAUAACUCAAAUUGAUGGCUACCCCAGCUGCCACCCUCGGCACUGAAGAGGAACACCAUGCUCCGACCACCGUGCCUUGCCUCCAAUCGUUUGAUUAUCCUUUCGAUCUGCUGCUCCAACGUUCAUAUGGCCAAUCAAUUUCAAC